GUUCUGCGCCUGCGUGCUAGACAGUAAGCGGUGCCAGUGGCAAGCGGGCUUUCACCUCAGCUGCGCGCCUCCCAGAGUUCUUGUCGCUCUACGCGGAAGAGGGAAGGCAUCUCCUUGAGUUUGCGUUUUCGGGGAAACGCACAGCACUGACACUUUAUUUGAAAUAUCUACCACUGCUUCAGAAAAAAAAAAAAAAAAAAAACUCAAAACAGUGGGGCUGUUUCUAAGACGCUGGGAAUCAGUAACGAAGAAUAGUGAUCCGGGAGAUGAUCUGAGCUCAAAAACAUGCUGCUUUCAGGGAUAUUAAUGUUUUAUAGAUGCGCUGCCGGACAGCGAACUCAAACAGAGCCCAGCGGAUUGUCUGCGUUGGCAAAAUAGAACUGAUAUUCUGGGGAGACCAAGGUUGCUUAUUAGGCCGAGGGGGAUAGCAUGCUACUCUCAUACCUCCAUUUCCAUAUAUAGCAGAGGCUUAGCGGACUGCACACAUACAAAAAAGAGGGAUUCUCCUUCUGGCUUGGAAGAAGCAUACAACGAUGUUGCAAAUUGCUUGUGGUAAGUACCACAUGGCAAGAAACUGCGAGUGGCCUUUAGGACCUGUAAAUAGAUUUUAGCUAAUAGCCAGUGAGUAGGUGGGGCCCUCAAUCAAGCCGCCCUGAGUGGAUUAAGUUUCUACAAACAAAUCAAAAAUAGUACUACCCAGUUAACAUCUUGACUGAAAACUUGUGAGACCUUGAGAAGAAUGCAAAAUCUUGACCCAGUAAAACUGUCUUAAAAUCUUGACUUGUAGAAAAACUGUGAGAUAAUAAAUGUGUUUUUAAGAUUCUAAA